rnacentral:lncRNA from 1 species
GGCCUCAGUUUCCCCCGCUGGUAAGAGAGGGAGUUUUGGUGCUCCUGCCUUGCCCCUCCCACUCGCCCUCCCCCUUCCUCCUCCCCCUCCUCCCCUCCCCCCUCCUCCUCCCCCGCCUCCUCCCCCUCCCGCCCCCUCCUCCCCCUCCCUCCCCCUCCUCCCCUCCUCCCCCUCCUCCUCCCCCUCCUCCUCCCCCUCCUCCCCUUCCUCCUCCCCUCCUCCCCCUUCCUCCUCCCCUUCCUCCUCCUCCUCCUCCUCCUCCCCCUCCUCCUCUUCCUCUCUUCCUCCCCUCCUCCUCUUCCUCUCUUCCUCCCCUCCUCCUCUUCCUCUCUUCCUCCUCCCCCUCCCCCCCCUCCUCUCCCCCUCCCCCUCCUCCCCCUUCUCUCCUCCCUCGCCCUCCUCCUCUCCCUCCUCCCCCUCCUCCCCCUCCCUCCCCCUCCUCCUCUCCCUCCUCCCCUUCCUCUCCUCCCCUCCCUCCUCCCCCUCCCUCCUCCCCUUCCUCUCCUCCCUCCUCCUCUUCCUCUCUUCCUCCCCUCCUCCUCUCCCUCCUUCCCCUCCUCCCCCUCCCCCUCCCCCCCCUCCCCCUUCCUCCUCCCCUCCUCCUCCUCCCCUCCCUCCUCCCCCUCCCCCUCCUCCUCCUCUUCCUCUCUUCCUUCCUCUUCCUCUCUUCCUCCCCUCCUCCUCCCCCUCCUCCCCCUCCUCCUCCCCUUCCUCCUCCCCCUUCUCUCCUCCCCUCCUCCCCCUCCUCCUCCCUCCUCCCCCUCCCCUCCCCCCUCCUCCUCUUCCUCUCUUCCUCCCCUCCUCCCCUUCCUCUCCUCCCCCUCCUCCCCCUUCCUCCUCCUCCCCCCCCUCCUCCUCCCUCCCCCUCCUCCCCCCUCCUCCUCUCCCUCCCCCUCCCUCCUUCCCCUUCCUCUUCCUCCUCCCCCUCCCCUUCCUCCUCCCCCCCCUCCUCCCCUUCCUCUCCUCCCUCCCCCUCCUCCUCUCCCUCCCCCCCCUCCUCCCCCUCCCUUUCCCCUCCCCCUCCCUCCUCCCCCUUCCUCUCCCUCCUCCCCUCCUCCCCCUCCUCCCCCUCCCUUUCCCCUCCCCCUCCCCCUUCCUCUCCCUCCCCUCCGCUGCUAACAGCUGUAACUGCUGCUUAUCCCGCCUCCCUAACGAGCACCCAGGCCCCUCAGAACAGUCCCGGCGGCUUCCCUCCAUAAUUGCCUCCGUAAUAAAUCCCCCGCACUUUGGCGGGUAGGAACCGCUGGGCUUCCCUCUCUUUCUCCCCCUCGCUUUCAAACACGCAAACGCAACACAGCAUUUCUAUUAUUACUGAGCUCCCUGUGCAUCAGCGGUAAGAAGACAGGUCCUUCUCAAGCACCCUCCCCUGGGACUCAGCCGCGAAGCAGAACUUCCUCCAGUCCCUGCGUCCCCUCA